UGGUUCUGGCAUCGAUGAAGAACGCAGCGAAAUGCGAUAAGUAAUGUGAAUUGCAGAAUUCAGUGAAUCAUCGAAUCUUUGAACGCACAUUGCGCCCUGUGGUAUUCCGCAGGGCAUGCCUGUUCGAGCGUCAUUUAACCACUCACGCCUAGCGUGGUAUUGGGGUACGCGGUCUCGCGGCCCUCAAGAUUAGUGGCGGCGCCGUCUGGCUCUAAGCGUAGUAAUUCUCUCGCUAUAGGGUCCAGGUGACCACCUGCCAUAACCCCCCAUUCUUUACGGUUGACCUCGGAUCAGGUAGGGAUACCCGCUGA
rnacentral:misc_RNA from 1 species